rnacentral:rRNA from 1 species
CCCCUAGAUGUUCUGGGCCGCACGCGCGCUACACUGAACAGUUCAACAAGUCUUAACCUUGGCCGAUAGGUCUGGGUAAUCUUUGAACGCUGUUCGUGAUUGGGAUAGACCUUUGCAAUUAUGGGUCUUCAACGAGGAAUUCCUAGUAAACGCAAGUCAUCAGCUUGCAUUGAUUACGUCCCUGCCCUCUGUACACACCGCCCGUCGCACCUACCGAUUGAAUGGUCCGGUGAAAUCUCGGGACGGCGGCUUGGUCGCUUGCGUCCGACUGCUGAAACUUGAUUAAACCAUAUCAUUUAGAGGAAGGUGAANUCGUANCA